rnacentral:rRNA from 1 species
AGCGAACGCUGGCGGCAGGCCUAACACAUGCAAGUCGAACGAAGCCUUCGGGCUUAGUGGCGGACGGGUGAGUAACACGUGGGAACGUACCUUUUGGUUCGGAAUAACGCAGAGAAAUUUGCGCUAAUACCGGAUGAGCCCUUCGGGGGAAAGAUUUAUCGCCGAAAGAUCGGCCCGCGUUGGAUUAGGUAGUUGGUGUGGUAAAGGCGCACCAAGCCUACGAUCCAUAGCUGGUCUGAGAGGAUGAUCAGCCACACUGGGACUGAGACACGGCCCAGACUCCUACGGGAGGCAGCAGUGGGGAAUCUUGCGCAAUGGGCGAAAGCCUGACGCAGCCAUGCCGCGUGAAUGAUGAAGGUCUUAGGAUUGUAAAAUUCUUUUACCAGGGACGAUAAUGACGGUACCUGGAGAAAAAGCCCCGGCUAACUUCGUGCCAGCCGCCGCAGUAA